GACGAACGCUGGCGGCGUGCUUAACACAUGCCAGUCGAACGAUGAAGCUGGAGCUUGCUCUGGCGGAUUAGUGGCGAACGGGUGAGUAACACGUGAGAAAUCUGCCCUUGACUCUGGGAUAACUGCGGGAAACUGUAGCUAAUACCGGAUACUUUCCCUGGGGGGCAUCCCCUGGGGAAGCAAGAAUUUCGGUCAAGGAUGAUCUCGCGGCCUAUCAGCUUGUUGGUGAGGUAAUGGCUCACCAAGGCGACGACGGGUAGCCGGCAUGAGAGGGUGACCGGCCACACUGGGACUGAGACACGGCCCAGACUCCUACGGGAGGCAGCAGUGGGGAAUAUUGCACAAUGGGCGCAAGCCUGAUGCAGCAACGCCGCGUGAGGGAUGAAGGCCUUCGGGUUGUAAACCUCUUUUAGCAGGGAAGAAGCGAAAGUGACGGUACCUGCAGAAAAAGCACCGGCUAACUACGUGCCAGCCGCCGCGGUAA
rnacentral:rRNA from 1 species